rnacentral:lncRNA from 1 species
CCUGAAGGGCACCGAGAGGUAUAUGAAUAGCUGCAGUGCAAAAGAGCAGCAUAAAUAGCAUGAUUUGGAGAGGGAGAUAAUUGUUCCCCCUGUGGGGACCUGCACAUUUGGAGACCAUGGGACUGCUUGCAGCAAGCUGCUUGUAACAAGCAAGGAACAUUCAAGAGAAAUACCCAGUAGUAUAACUCAAUUGGUGCAUACAGUGCAUGAAGCAGAUGAAGGAUUUACAAGAUGCCAGCCCUGUUGAUGAAGAUGUGGAAUGCCAAGGCAAGCCUUAGAUGUGGGGAGAGAGCAUGGACAAGGACAAGCUUGUAAAGAAGAAAGGAAAAGGAGGCGCAUGAUAGCCAAGGUCAUAUCACCAUUCCAUGAAAAGCCUCUCUACCAGUCCCUAUCUUACAUAAUUUUCUCUCUUCAUCACCAUUUCAGGCCUGUGUUGAAUAUUCCUCAUGAAUUCUGAGAGUCUCUUGUACUCUAAUACAAAUUUGAAAGCCUUAUUUGAGUUAAGAGCCACAAAUGUAUUUUACUACAUUUUGUUAUCCAAACUGUUUUUAUGUGAGGCUAUGUUUUGUUGAAACCUCCUCCCGAUGACCACACAUUGUUUUAAUCCUUCACUGGACAUAACAUUCCCCUCUUGUGAGCAUCGUUUGUCUUCUGCAAUCUAGAAAUAAUUGGUACAAAUGAGGAGAGGAGGCACCCAAACUGCCCUGAGCUGAAUGCUUUUACAUAUGCCAAAUGCUUUUGCAAAAUGUCUAAAAAAAAUUUAACUCUCCUCCUAAACCAACACCUUAGUUUUACUUCUCCAAAAUGCGUUUGUUGCUAUUACAUAUACAAUAUGUAUUUUGGACAACUUACUCAAGGCUGAUGCUACAACAAGAUUCUUAAACUCAUUCCAGCCAAACUUUAUAAAUGCGGAGAAUGUUGACCAUCAUGGCUGAUAAAAAGAUAGUACACCUGGGAAUCUCAGUUCAAUCAGCAAUCUAAAUUGAGUUUGCACUUUGUUCUGCAUGCAUCUGUUUCACCUAUCAUUACUAGGGCCACGUGGAGUGCAGGUCAAUGUUUACAGACAUCCAAAUUAGGGUCUAUGGUCGUGUUCAUGUUGGAUCUGGUUGAACAGUUGGAAGCUAGAGAGUUAAGGAGAAGCUCUUCACCAUUUCUUCAAUGAACUCAUGCUUUGGCUCUCCCCCAUGCAUAUAGAAUGCAGCUCACAUAAAGAGUGAGUGCAUGAUGUGAUCUCAUCCUGUAGUUGGACAUUACUUUGUUGGCUCCCACACUGAAAGCAAUUUGAAUUUCUCAGCAGCCAUACAUCACCAAUUUUGACAGAAUUUGCAGGUUUGUUCUUUACUCCUAGCCUAAUGGAUGAAAUGAAAGUUGGUGAGUUCCCAGAGUUGGACAACCUUCAGAAUGCUGAGACAUACUAAAUGAAGGAAAAAAGUCCUUUUGUGAGUUCUCCAAAACUGAGACCUCCUAGUGACUAUGGCAAGGUCCUGUUGUUUCAGUGAAAAGUUGUUGAACUUUGUGAACCAUUAAGUGAUCUCUACAGUUACAAAAGCUUCUGAGAUUCCAAAACCCUUUGUUCAUCCCUUUUGUUUUUCCAGGCAAAGAAAAUGGCAUUUUAAUAGCGGCACCUUCACUAGUAAAAUGACUUGCACAUGCAAAGUAGAUUCUCAGUGAAUAUUUGUUCAUUCCUGAUUAUCCCCAAGAGAACAGACACAUUAUAAAACCACUUCAAAUUGUUCAGGUUAGGAUUUUUUUGUUUGGACUUUUGCUCUUCAUUUGUCCACUUAGUUGAAAUCCAUUGCAUUGGGGAGUUAUACAUGAUAUAAAUGAUGAAUUGAUGGGUGCUGACGAGUUGAUGGGUGCAGCACACCAACAUGGCACAAGUAUACAUAUGUAACAAACCUGCACAUUAUGCACAUGUACCCUAGAACUUAAAGUAUAAUAAUAAUAAAAAAAGAAAUCCCAUCUUAAUGCCCUUUGAU